UAAUAGCUUUUGGGUGUGGUUC
rnacentral:siRNA from 1 species